UACGGGGGGGGCAAGCGUUGUUCGGAAUUACUGGGCGUAAAGGGCUCGUAGGUGGCCAACUAAGUCGGACGUGAAAUCCCUCGGCUUAACCGGGGAACUGCGUCCGAUACUGGAUGGCUUGAGUUUGGGAGAGGGAUGCGGAAUUCCAGGUGUAGCGGUGAAAUGCGUAGAUAUCUGGAGGAACACCGGUGGCGAAGGCGGCAUCCUGGACCAACACUGACACUGAGGAGCGAAAGCGUGGGGAGCGAACAGG
rnacentral:rRNA from 1 species